GUGCCAGCAGCCGCGGUAAUACGAAGGGGGCGAGCGUUGUUCGGAAUUACUGGGCGUAAAGGGCGCGUAGGCGGCGCACCAAGUCAGGCGUGAAAGCCCUGGGCUUAACCCAGGAAUUGCGUUUGAGACUGGCGUGCUGGAGUGCAGGAGAGGUCGGCGGAAUUCCCAGUGUAGAGGUGAAAUUCGUAGAGAUUGGGAAGAACACCGGUGGCGUAGGCGGCCGACUGGACUGUAACUGACGCUGAGGCGCGAAAGCGUGGGGAGCAAACAGGAUUAGAAACCCUCGUAGUCC
rnacentral:rRNA from 1 species